rnacentral:rRNA from 1 species
UACGAAGGGGGCGAGCGUUGUUCGGAAUUACUGGGCGUAAAGGGCGCGUAGGCGGCGACUCUAGUCAGAUGUGAAAGUCCUGGGCUUAACCUGGGGACUGCAUUUGAUACUGGGUUGCUUGAAUUCGGGAGAGGAUAGCGGAAUUCCCAGUGUAGAGGUGAAAUUCGUAGAUAUUGGGAAGAACACCGGUGGCGAAGGCGGCUAUCUGGACCGACAUUGACGCUGAGGGCGCGAAAAGCGUGGGGAGCAAACAGG